CAAUGGUGGUCUCGGACCUAAUAGGGUAGAAAGAGUUGACAAAUCUUAAAAAAACUUGGUAUGACCAAAGCUUAAUGAAUUAUAACACUGCUUAGAAAGUUUCAUGACAAUAGGCUGUAUAUUAUAGACAUUAAGUUAAGUUCUAUACUCAUCUUUGCGUGUAAAAUUUUGACGUUAAAAUUGAAAAAUUUCAACUAUCAACAUUUGG
rnacentral:lncRNA from 1 species